rnacentral:rRNA from 1 species
AUGCGUUUGUUUCAUGCUUUUCAUAAUAACACUCUGGAUGUGGCUCGUCUAAACUAUGGUGUGAUCACCUUGAUACCCAAAAUGAAUGGUGCUAAGAAAAUCCAACAAUAUCGCCCUAUUUGUCUCCUUCGAUGUCCUUAUAAGUUGAUCACUAAGGUGAUGGAUAACAGAGUAGCUAUUUUUGCUGACAAGCUUAUCAACAAACACCAGAAUGCUUUUGUUAAGCACAGGAAUAUUAUGGAUGGGAUCCUCACUCUCCAUGAGGUGCUACACCAUACUCAUCAAAAGAAAAAAGUGGGCUAG